GGGCGUAAAGCGGUACGUAGGCGGCGUGUUAAGCAAGAUGUGAAAGCCCCGGGCUCAGCCUGGGAAUUGCAUUUUGAACUGGCAUGCUAGAGUCCUGAAGAGGGUGGUAGAAUUUCCAGUGUAGCGGUGAGAUGCGUAGAUAUUGGAAGGAAUACCGGUGGCGAAGGCGGCCACCUGGUCAGAGACUGACGCUGAGGUACGAAAGCGUGGGGAGCAAACAGGAUUAGAUACCCUGGUAGUCCACGCCGUAAACGAUGUCAACUAGUUGUUCGUGUCAUUAAGACGUGAGUAACGCAGCUAACGCACUAAGUUGACCGCCUGGGGAGUACGGCCGCAAGGUUAAAACUCAAAUGAAUUGACGGGGGCCCGCACAAGCGGUGGAGCAUGUGGUUUAAUUCGAUGCAACGCGAAGAACCUUACCAUCCCUUGACAUCCAGUGAAUUUUUCAGAGAUGAAUUAGUGCCUUCGGGAACACUGAGACAGGUGCUGCAUGGCU
rnacentral:rRNA from 1 species